CUCACAUUCAGUUGGAUUGGGCGGACCCUCGCUUCGGUCGUUUGUAGCUUCAAUACUUUCUAUCGACUUUCCUGGUCGUUUGCGUGCGACAUUCAAAGGAAGAAAUGGAAAUUAUGCAGAUAUUAUUGUGCUCUACAAUAUUUGGCAUACAAGAUGGAAAGGAAGAAUUGGAAAUGAUAAAGAGAAUAGCGAACUGCUGAAUUUCAGACACAACAAUGAAUCUGGAAGAUUGUACAAGAUAAGUACGCGUUGUUUGAAUUAGAUCAGAUUUCAAGUAUAAGUAUUUUAAUCUAGAAAUUUUUUUUAGUCUGAUUAGCGAUAGAUGCUUAA